rnacentral:rRNA from 1 species
UACGAAGGGGGCUAGCGUUGUUCGGAAUUACUGGGCGUAAAGCGCACGUAGGCGGCUCUGUAAGUUGGGGGUGAAAUCCCGAGGCUCAACCCCGGAAUUGCCUUCAAGACUACAGAGCUAGAGUAUGUGAGAGGAGAGUGGAAUUCCCAGUGUAGAGGUGAAAUUCGUAGAUAUUCGGAAGAACACCGGUGGCGAAGGCGACUGUCUGGCACAUUACUGACGCUGAGGUGCGAAAGCGUGGGGAGCAAACAGG